rfam:Brassica napus, WGS project CCCW01000000 data, contig: 5453
AAACCAUAAUGAGGGCAUUGAGACCAAUAGCCCUUGAACCUCUCCCAUGCUUCACUGAAGCUCUCUAGACCUUUCAGUUGGAACCCGGAGAUUUCGUUCCUGAUCUU